ACAACAGUGUUGUUGUGAAGAUGUAAGUGGCCAUUCCUUGCCUGAUCAAAUAUUCUCAUUGACCUUAGUCAAUGCAAGAAGUAUAACACUCAGGAUCAAGUCAAGUCCUUUGGAAGAGGCCAAAUGUCUUCAUUAAAUUCUGAAUGAGUCCAGAACAGGCAGCACCCUAACCUGUUCCUUGGGAGAGGUGCAGAGAAUAAGUUAUCUGAAGCCUUGGGAGAUGAGUUAGAGGAAACCUGAACUUCUCUCCUGUCAGCCCCAGAAUCAUAACCCCAGAUCCUAAAGUCAGCUGCAGAUGGAUUGCCGAGGUUAAUGGAAUCAGCGGGAGCUGCCGAGCGUUGGGAAUGCUACGGUGGGAGACACUGCGAUGGACCCGCUUCUCUCAUCGUCACAAAGAGAUGGAAGAGAAAUGGAAAUGAAUAUUCUGUAUUUGGCAGAAUCCAAGGUUGCCGUGAAGCUGUGCCAGUCCCGUACCUUUUCAGGACUGUUUUCAGAACCCUUUCUUGAGUUUUUCAAUUUUAUCUAUAAUGGAAACGGUCAUCAAGUCCUGGGACCAGGACCCCAAAGAAAGCUGUCUUCCUGGAGUUAAACCUACCCGAUUACCUGAGACAUACAGCUAGCGUGUUAUUCCCCAGGCUGCUCUCUGCUGCCCGUGGUGGGAAAUGAGCCCCUACAGAAGGAAGUUUGUUUCCCAGCAGAGAGGAUGCCCAUGUUACGAGUGUCCCUGUGGGUAAGCACAUGAUGCCAUGUUCCCAAAUGGGUGAUUGAUGAAGAUACUAAGAUACUACUGCAUAUAUAUACAUAUAUAUAUAUAUAAAUGUUUCUUUAUUUGGCUUGCAUGCACAAAGUUAAAGAAGAGUAGCCAGUGACUGCUCGUCUGGCGAGCAGUAAGGGAGACACAGGACUGACAAUGGUUGCCUGACAAUCUGCUGAGUCUUGGUAAGAGGAGUGUGUUCGUGGGCUUCUUGGGCAGAUGCUCUCUGUUUUAUUGUGUGCUUCACUCGCUGUCAUUCUUUGUUGGAAUUAUUUUUUUAUCCUGAAGUAACUUUUCU